rnacentral:lncRNA from 1 species
GCUCUGAAGAUUCUCAGCUUCUAUUGUAUCUGCAAGGUGGCUUUAGUGCAGUGCAUCUCCCCGCGUGUGCAGCUCCACACUCAGUGUGCUUGUGUUGUAACCUCGCAUUAGGCCGCACCGGAAGCAGUUACACGGGGGAAAUCAGCAGGCGCUAGGAAUCAAGGCUGGUCCUCUCCCUCCUCCCAGCUGGCGAACAAACAUGGAUAGCACAGCACGGGUUACUUCUUUACUUCUUGAAAUUCCCUGGCAGUUUUAAAAUAUCAUUUAGAUUAAACCCGAGAGUGGAAGAGCCUGGGGAGACGGAAACGAGAGUCAUACACUCACAAUGGCCCCCCUGGGAGAACAGCAGCACUGUGCUCUGAAGGAAGCAGCGCCCUCCAGUGAUGGCGCCUGGCGCAUCCGUGGGCCGGGUAAUGAAUGCUUGUGAAAUAUUUCACAAGCAUCAAGUGCUGCAUCAAUGCUGAGACAUAAUGGUGCCAUUAUGGCAGGACAGGACGCUUCAUUACACACCCUGGCAGUGGGGAUUCUCACGUGGGAGACGUUUGCUGAGUCUUGGCAUUCCAUCAGGCCCUGCGCUGCCACGGUGAGGGCCACAGGUGUAUGAGGGGCUGCACCAGCGUUAGCAGGCAGAACGAGAGGCUAUCAGUGCACCUCGCCUCCCCAUUUCCUCUCCACCCCUGAGAGAGACCAGCCCGCCAGAGAGCUGCAGCCCCCAUGGAUUCUCUGCAAAGCUGUGCGCACUGGGAGUUUCCCUCUGCGUGGCCACCUCCACUCUCACACUCUGGUCCCGCAACCCCAGCCAUGAUGCUUCAAAGAAUAUACAGAUGCUUCCGGCCCUGGAAGUGCUUCUGGAGGUCCCUGCCCCACCGUGAAUGUGUAAAAAUGGAGACCUGGACAGGAUCCAGAAGCAUUUUACAUAAAGUGUGUUCAGGGAGCACAUUAAUCCCUGGAGUUACUUGUGAGAAAAGGAUGCAUGAGAAAUGGCUGCUUUGCCAGAGCCCAAACAGCAUGAAAUGAGCUGGCGAAACGCCAGGACAGUCACAUCAGAGUCCCGGCAAAGGGCCAGGCAGGGCCUCCAGCUCUGGAGCUGACCCUUGUGAUGAGGAUGCCGGGGUAACUGCAAACUGCGCUGUGCACUUAGUGGCGGCGUGGUCCGGAGUCUUUCAGAGAUGGCUGUGAGGCCACAUCCCCGUGUCACAACCCGCUGUUCCCAACUUCUCUGCCCAUCCUUGGAUCCGCGGGGACAAUCACGAUGGCCGAGGUGUGAGGAUGCGUGUGUCACGCCUCCUGCUUCGCGCUCCUGGCCCUUCUCAGAACUCGUCUCAUUCCCUCCCUGUCCCGCC